rnacentral:rRNA from 1 species
AUCGAACGAAUGGUAGGCUUGUUCGUAGGACGAUACGCCCACUGACUGAAACCGUCAGUUCUACGAGCAUGGCAGUGAGGAUAUGGCACAAUGCCGAUGGUGAUGCAGCGACGCCGCUGAGAUGAGCCCUCUGGUCGUAAACUCUUUGCAGAGAUACAGGCUGCUACACGCAGCUUUGAAUGUAUCUGUGAAUAAGCAUCGGCUACUACGUGCCAGCAGCCGCGGUAAUACGUAGGAUGCGAGCGUGUCCGGAAUCACUGGGUGUAAAGGGAGCGCAGGCGGGUCGGUAAGUCACUGGUGAAAUUCCCAGGCUCAACUUGGGGACUGCCAGUGAUACUGCUGAUCUUGGGUAUAGAAGAGGUUGAUGGAAUUCCUGGUGUAGCGGUGAAAUGCGUAGAUAUCAGGAAGAACACCGAUGGCGAAGGCAGUCAACUGGUCUAUUACCGACGCUCAUGCUCGAAAGCGUGGGGAUCAAACAGGAUUAGAUACCCUGAUAGUCCACGCCUUAAACGAUGAAUACUCGAUGUCGGCCCGUGAGGGUCGGUGUCCAAGCUAACGCAUUAAGUAUUCCACCUGGGAAGUACGAUCGCAAGGUUGAAACUCAAAGGAAUUGACGGGGGCCCGCACAAGCAGUGGAGCAUGUGGUUUAAUUCGAUGCAACGCGAAGAACCUUACCUGGGUUUGAAAGGCUCUGUAAACCGGUGAAAGCCGGCUAGUGUAGCAAUACACGCGGAGUACAGGUGCUGCAUGGCUGUCGUCAGCUCGUGCCGUGAGGUGUUAGGUUAAGUCCUGCAACGAGCGCAACCCCUGCACUUAGUUGCCAUCAGGUCAAGCUGGGCACUCUAAGUGGACUGCCUACGCAAGUAGCGAGGAAGGUGGGGAUGACGUCAAGUCCUCAUGGCCCUUACACCCAGGGCUACACACGUGCUACAAUGGCCGCUACAACGGGCUGCAAUGCCGCAAGGCGGAGCUAAUCCCUAAAAAGUGGUCUCAGUUCAGAUUGUGGGCUGCAACUCGCCCGCAUGAAGCUGGAAUUGCUAGUAAUCGCAGAUCAGCACGCUGCGGUGAAUACGUUCCCGGGCCUUGUACACACCGCCCGUCAAGCCAUGGAAGCUGAGGGUACCCGAAGCCGCUGUGCUAACCGCAAGGAAGCAGGCGUCUAAGGUAAAAUCAGUGACUGGGGCUAAGUCGUAACAAGGUAGCC